rnacentral:lncRNA from 1 species
CCUGUGCAGUAGUGCGGAGUCCAUGACGAAUUUUGGUCAAAUUCACAGGUUUUGGGGUGUUUCUAUCAUGGGAAAUUAAUUCCUAAUCAUCCUAAGACAUCAUUUAACUAAUCUUUAAUUUAAAAAUUGCUAGGAAUUGAAGCUAGAAGUUGCAGUUAAGGAAAACAGACACUCACCUAAGCUGUAAUACGUGCAGCUGCCGCAGAGGAAAAAUGCUUAUGUUUUGGAGUUGUUGUGCUAUUCUGGGCAUCUAAAAUGAUUACGGAAGAUGAUAAGAAGCUGGGGAAGACAGAUACGAAUCAUUAAAAGGGAAAGAAACUCACCUAGACAUGGAAAGAAGUUGGGUUCUCUCGGUAGAGGCAUAUCCCACACACUUUUUUUUUUUUAUACUUUUUUCUAGUUUU